rnacentral:lncRNA from 1 species
UUUUUUUGUCCGACAGGUUUUUUGGAGUGAAAUGGAACCAAUCUUAAUGAUAAUUCACUAUAAGGAGGAACACAAAAUUUCGGGUUGCAGUAGGGUCUAAGACCAUAAAAAAUGGCUGCCGUUUCCAUGGAAACGGAACAAUUGUGAAAAAUUUCAGUUUUUGGUUUUGUGAAUUAUUUAGAGAUGCUUAAACUCAGAAUCAUCAUAUUUUAUCACAAUGUAGGUGCCAGCCAUAUAUUGGUUUUGGAUGAUAUUGGCAAUCAUUGGAACCACUAUGUUGCCAUGGAAACUACCCCAAAAAAUUUCAAAAAUUUCAAAUGCUCCAAUUUUUGAAACUUCAUAGUAACGAUGAGCAACAUUGGUAGAUGCGUAAUUUGGCGUUGGAAUUUCCAAAAUGUCUGCCGUUACCAUGGAAACAGUGCAUAAGUGUCAAAAUGC